CGGCGCAUAGUUCAGCGGCAGAACAACAGUAAUCCCCCUGACUGGAAACCCUGGUUCGAAUCCGGGUGCGCGGU
rnacentral:tRNA from 1 species